GACGAACGCUGGCGGCGUGCUUAACACAUGCAAGUCGAACGGAAAGGCCCUGCUUUUGUGGGGUGCUCGAGUGGCGAACGGGUGAGUAACACGUGAGUAACCUGCCCUUGACUUUGGGAUAACUUCAGGAAACUGGGGCUAAUACCGGAUAGGAGCUCCUGCUGCAUGGUGGGGGUUGGAAAGUUUCGGCGGUUGGGGAUGGACUCGCGGCUUAUCAGCUUGUUGGUGGGGUAGUGGCUUACCAAGGCUUUGACGGGUAGCCGGCCUGAGAGGGUGACCGGCCACAUUGGGACUGAGAUACGGCCCAGACUCCUACGGGAGGCAGCAGUGGGGAAUAUUGCGCAAUGGGCGGAAGCCUGAUGCAGCAACGCCGCGUGCGGGAUGACGGCCUUCGGGUUGUGAACCGCUUUCGCCUGAGACGAAGCGUGAGUGACGGUAAUGGGUAAAAAAGCACCGGCUAACUACGUG
rnacentral:rRNA from 1 species